UACGGAGGGUGCAAGCGUUAUCCGGAUUCACUGGGCUUAAAGGGCGCGUAGGCGGGCAGGCAAGUCAGUGGUGAAAUCCCCGAGCUUAACUUGGGAACUGCCGUUGAUACUAUCUGUCUUGAAUAUCGUGGAGGUUAGCGGAAUAUGUCAUGUAGCGGUGAAAUGCAUAGAGAUGACAUAGAACACCAAUUGCGAAGGCAGCUGGCUGGACGGUAAUUGACACUGAGGCGCGAAAGCGUGGGGAGCAAACAGG
rnacentral:rRNA from 1 species